GGCUCGAUGGCGGACGGUCCGCACCUGCAAGUAUUAUUGGGAACUCGUCCAAUCAAUAAUAUGCAGGAGUCGCCCGUUCGACUCGGGCUCGAGCCA